rnacentral:tRNA from 1 species
GCCUGGGUGGCUCAGUCGGUUGAGCAUGUGACUUCGGCUCAGGUCAUGAUCUCACGGUUUGUGGGUUUGAAUCCCACAUCGGGCU